GACUUCAGAGGGGAGGGGAGACCUGUCAGUGCUGUGACUGAGGAAAUGGUGUCAAACAAAUAAAGUGCUCCCCUGCCCUUAGGUCAGCUCCUUUGUGCAGCUACUGCGCCAGCAGCUGAGUCUCCUGUUCUUUUUGGUGAGAGAAUACAGGAAGCAAUUUUUCUAGAGUCGGUGUCUGGCUUUCCAUUCCUGGAGGAGGUUAUAUAUCUACAUUUGAGUUCAUGUCUCCACAAUAAAUGUAGAAGGAAGAGACAAAGUCCUGCAAAGUUGGGUUUUGUCCUCUCCACAUUGGGACUUUACAGAACAGCUUUGACUUUAUCUGAUGCUCCAUCAGCCUUCUGGCUCCUGCUGACUGAGCCUGGGACAACACUUCUCACUUCCCACUCGUCAUUGUAAAUAUAAAAGUCUCCAUGUACAGAGAGUGACUGUCAUUCAUGCCACCAACAUUCUUCCAGCAGGUGCUGGGACAAGUUCAAUGGAAAGCUCACGGCCCAAGCUAGGGUUCUUUCUUUGUUGGGAGACUGAGGCUGUUUGCAUCUGGGUUAGGACAGCUGAGGAAGUGAGCAUCAGGCCAAGCUGGGCUGAGCUGGGCUGCACUAAGACCUAUCAGGGAGAGCAGAGUGCGUAGGUGGCCAGCUCAGCUGCUUGCCUGCCUCUCAGGAAGAACAAUUGAACUGUCACCCGGUG
rnacentral:lncRNA from 1 species